GAGAAUCAUCAAAUCUUUGAACGCAAAUUGCACUCCCUGGUAUUCCGGGGAGUAUGCCUGUUUGAGGGUCGUUAGAACAAAAAUCGAAGCGUCGCUCUUUUUUGUAAGGGUGAUCGCGUCGGAACUGAGCCGUAUUUCAAAUGUUAAUUCAUGUCAAAGUGGCUUAAAAUUCAUCAAUCAGGUACGAUUAAAGCGUAUUUAAGAUCAACUUUGAUUAAGAACGCGCGAUGAACGUACCAUCUCAUGUAGUACGUUUGACUGGACGUGGUUAGGAUGAUUC
rnacentral:misc_RNA from 1 species